rnacentral:rRNA from 1 species
CCUACGGGAGGCAGCAGUGGGGAAUAUUGGGCAAUGGUCGAAAGACUGACCCAGCAAUGCCGCGUGAAUGAAGAAGGUCUUAGGAUUGUAAAAUUCUGUCCUAUGGGAAGAAAAAACUGACGGUACCAUAGGAGUAAGCCCCGGCUAACUACGUGCCAGAAGCCGCGGCAAUACGUAGGGGGCGAGCGUUGUCCGGAAUUACUGGGCGUAAAGAGUGCGUAGGCGGCACUACAAGUCUCAUGUGAAAUACCCGGGCUUAACUUGGGGGUUGCAUGGGAAACUGUAGAGCUUGAGUACAGGAGAGGCAAGCGGAAUGCCUAGUGUAGCGGUGAAAUGCAUAGAUAUCAGGCGGAACACC